rnacentral:hammerhead_ribozyme from 1 species
AUUCAUCUGAUAAGUCUAAAAUAGGACGAAACACGUGUUCUGAAU